rnacentral:sRNA from 1 species
UGCCAGUCACCAUUAGCUUCUCCAAGCUG